rnacentral:rRNA from 1 species
CAAUAGCGUAUAUUAAAGUUGUUGCAGUUAAAAAGCUCGUAGUUGGAUUUGUGGCGUACGGUGUGUUCCGGGCACUUGUUGUCUGAGUAACCUGCUGUUGCCAUCCUUGGGUGGAACCUGUGUGGCAUUAGGUUGUCGUGCAGGGGAUGCCCAUCAUUUACUGUGAAAAAAUUAGAGUGCUCAAAGCAGGCUUAUGCCGUUGAAUAUAUUAGCAUGGAAUAAUGAGAUAGGACUUUUUUGCUAUUUUGUUGGUUUGCGCAAAGAGGUAAUGAUUAAUAGGGACAGUUGGGGGUAUUCGUAUUCCAUUGUCAGAGGUGAAAUUCUUGGAUUUUUGGAAGACGAACUACUGCGAAAGCAUUUACCAAGGAUGUUUUCAUUAA